UACGAAGGGGGCAAGCGUUGUUCGGAUUUACUGGGCGUAAAGCGUACGUAGGCGGAUGAUUAAGUCAGGGGUGAAAUCCCGGGGCUCAACCUCGGAACUGCCUUUGAUACUGGUCAUCUUGAGUCCGGGAGAGGUGAGUGGAACUCCUAGUGUAGAGGUGAAAUUCGUAGAUAUUAGGAAGAACACCGGUGGCGAAGGCGGGUCUCUGGGCCGAUACUGACGCUGAGGAGCGAAAGCGUGGGGAGCGAACAGG
rnacentral:rRNA from 1 species